GGCGUGCUUAACACAUGCAAGUCGAACGGGAUCCAUCAAGCUUGCUUGGUGGUGAGAGUGGCGAACGGGUGAGUAAUGCGCGACCAACCUGCCCUGUACUCUGGAAUAGCUCCUGGAAACGGGUGGUAAUGCCGGAUGCUCCACAUGGGUGCAUGCCUGUGUGGGAAAGGGUUUACCGGUAUGGGAUGGGGUCGCGUCCUAUCAGCUUGACGGCGGGGUAAUGGCCCACCGUGGCUUUGACGGGUAGCCGGCCUGAGAGGGCGACCGGCCACAUUGGGACUGAGAUACGGCCCAGACUCCUACGGGAGGCAGCAGUGGGGAAUAUUGCACAAUGGGGGGAACCCUGAUGCAGCGACGCCGCGUGCGGGAUGACGGCCUUCGGGUUGUAAACCGCUUUUGAUUGGGAGCAAGCGUUAAGUGAGUGUACCUUUCGAAUAAGCGCCGGCUAACUACGUGCCAGCAGCCGCGGUAAUACGUAGGGCGCAAGCGUUGUCCGGAAUUAUUGGGCGUAAAGGGCUCGUAGGCGGCUCGUCGCGUCUGGUGUGAAAGUCCAUCGCUUAACGGUGGAUCUGCGCCGGGUACGGGCGGGCUGGAGUGCGGUAGGGGAGACUGGAAUUCCCGGUGUAACGGUGGAAUGUGUAGAUAUCGGGAGGAACACCAAUGGCGAAGGCAGGUCUCUGGGCCGUUACUGACGCUGAGGAGCGAAAGCGUGGGGAGCGAACAGGAUUAGAUACCCUGGUAGUCCACGCCGUAAACGGUGGACGCUGGAUGUGGGGCCCAUUCCACGGGUUCCGUGUCGGAGCUAACGCGUUAAGCGUCCCGCCUGGGGAGUACGGCCGCAAGGCUAAAACUCAAAGAAAUUGACGGGGGCCCGCACAAGCGGCGGAGCAUGCGGAUUAAUUCGAUGCAACGCGAAGAACCUUACCUGGGCUUGACAUGUUCCCGGCGACAUCAGAGAUGGUGUUUCCCUUCGGGGCGGGUUCACAGGUGGUGCAUGGUCGUCGUCAGCUCGUGUCGUGAGAUGUUGGGUUAAGUCCCGCAACGAGCGCAACCCUCGCCCCGUGUUGCCAGCACGUCAUGGUGGGAACUCACGGGGGACCGCCGGGGUUAACUCGGAGGAAGGUGGGGAUGA
rnacentral:rRNA from 1 species